AUUGAACGCUGGCGGCAGGCCUAACACAUGCAAGUCGAGCGGCGCGGCGGACGGGUUAGUAAUGCCUAGGAAUCUGCCUGGUAGUGGGGGAUAUCGUCCGGAAACGGGCGCUAAUACCGCAUACUAUCAGAUGAGCCUCGGUCGGAUUAGCUAGUGGUUGGGGUAAUGGCCUACCAAGGCGACGAUCCGUAACUGGUCUGAGAGGAUGAUCAGUCACACUGGAACGGAGAAACGGUCCAGACUCCUACGGGAGGCAGCAGUGGGGAAUAUUGCACAAUGGGCGCAAGCCUGAUGCAGCCAUGCCGCGUGUAGGAAGAAGGCCUUCGGGUGGUAAAGUACUUUCAGCGGGGAGGCGUUACCCGCAGAAGAAGCACCGGCUAACUACGUGCCAGCAGCCGCGGUAAUAC
rnacentral:rRNA from 1 species